GAUGAACGCUGGCGGCGUGCCUAACACAUGCAAGUCGAGCGAUUUACUUCGGUAAAGAGCGGCGGACGGGUGAGCAACGCGUGGGUAACCUGCCCUAUACACACGGAUAACAUACCGAAAGGUAUGCUAAUACGAGAUAAUAUAAGAGAUUCACAUGGAUUUCUUAUCAAAGCUGAGGCGGUAUAGGAUGGACCCGCGUCUGAUUAGCUAGUUGGUAAGGUAACGGCUUACCAAGGCGACGAUCAGUAGCCGACCUGAGAGGGUGAUCGGCCACAUUGGAACUGAGACACGGUCCAAACUCCUACGGGAGGCAGUAGUGGGGAAUAUUGCACAAUGGGCGAAAGCCUGAUGCAGCAACGCCGCGUGAGUGAUGAAGGCCUUCGGGUCGCAAAACUCUGUCCUCAAGGAAGAUAAUGACGGUACUUGAGGAGGAAGCCCCGGCUAACUACGUGCCAGCCGCCGCGGUAAAAC
rnacentral:rRNA from 1 species